AGGAAUAUUGGUCAAUGGACGAGAGUCUGAACCAGCCAUCCCGCGUGCAGGAUGACGGCCCUAUGGGUUGUAAACUGCUUUUCUACGCCAAGAAACCUACCAACGUGUUGGUAGCUGACGGUAGCGUAGGAAU
rnacentral:rRNA from 1 species